ACUUUAUCGUGAGCAUUCCGCCAGUCAACAUGUGCUGUUGGAGAAUUCUGCUGUUAGCUUUUCUUAUAUCUAAUAUCUCCUGUUUAACGCGAAUAAAGGCUAAAGAUGGGACCAAGGUUGAUUCUUUUCAGGCGGAUGAAAAAUUCUGGAAUGAAGAAGAACCAGCACAAGUUGGAAGGUCAUGCAGAAGUAUCAAGGACUGUGAUGGGUUUUCCAUCUCGGAUUUAGGAGAGGCAUGUAGGCUUGUCCACUGUUCAAGCAGCAAUCGAUGCGAAUGUGUUUAUUAAUUGAAAAUAAAUAUAACUAUGCAUAAAUUCAAAGCAACAUGUAUUUGUUAUUAUCUUGAUAAAAAAACAAAACAAAUC
rnacentral:sRNA from 1 species